UACGAAGGGGGCUAGCGUUGUCCGGAUUUACUGGGCGUAAAGAGCGCGCAGGCGGUCGAUUUAGUCGUGUGUGAAAGCCCCCGGCUCAACUGGGGAGGGUCACGCGAUACUGAUCGACUCGAAGGCAGGAGAGGGAAGUGGAAUUCCCGGUGUAGUGGUGAAAUGCGUAGAUAUCUGGAGGAACACCGGUGGCGAAGGCGGCAUCCUGGACCAAUACUGACGCUCAUGUGCGAAAGCGUGGGGAGCAAACAGG
rnacentral:rRNA from 1 species